AUUCUCCUCACCUGCUACGUUAAUUCUCCUAACCUGCUACGUAAACAAAGCAUCGCUACACAGGAACUGACCAAUGAAAACACGUUAACAAACAAACAACACCACUCAAUCAAAACUUUCUGACCAAUCACAGAGCGCUGAUGUUACAUCCGUCGAUGAUGAUCCACCCACUUAUUCCACCAAUCACACUGUCGUACACCUUCCAUAUGAAGUUCCCCAUACUGAGACAGAAGGAGUUGUGUGUUUCUAGAUUGAUGCUGAGGGAGUUGGGUCCGUGGUUUCUAGGUUGAUACUGAGGGAGUUGGGUCCGUGGUCAUGUGUUUCUAGGUUGAUGCUGAGGGAGUUGGGUCCGUGGUCAUGUGUUUCUAGGUUGAUGCUGAGGGAGUUGGGUCCGUGGUCAUGUGUUUCUAGGUUGAUGCUGAGGGAGUUGGGUCCGUGGUCAUGUGUUUCUAGAUUGAUGCUGAGGGAGUUGGGUCCGUGGUCAUGUGUUUCUAGGUUGAUGCUGAGGGAGUUGGGUCCGUGGUUUCUAGGUUGAUGCUGAGGGAGUUGGGUCCGUGGUCAUGUGUUUCUAGGUUGAUGCUGAGGGAGUUGGGUCCAUGGUCAUGUGUUUCUAGGUUGAUGCUGAGGGAGUUGGGUCCGUGGUCAUGUGUUUCUAGGUUGAUGCUGAAGGAGUUGGGUCCGUGGUCAUGUGUUUCUAGGUUGAUGCUGAGGGAGUUGGGUCCGUGGUUUCUAGGUUGAUGCUGAGGGAGUUGGGUCCAGGGUCAUGUGUUUCUAGGUUGAUGCUGAGGGAGUUGGGUCCGUGGUUUCUAGGUUGAUGCUGAGGGAGUUGGGUCCAUGGUCAUGUGUUUCUAGGUUGAUGCUGAGGGAGUUGGGUCCGUGGUCAUGUGUUUCUAGGUUGAUGCUGAGGGAGUUGGGUCCGUGGUCAUGUGUUUCUAGGUUGAUGCUGAGGGAGUUGGGUCCGUGGUCAUGUGUUUCUAGAUUGAUGCUGAGGGAGUUGGGUCCGUGGUCAUGUGUUUCUAGGUUGAUGCUGAGGGAGUUGGGUCCGUGGUCAUGUGUUUCUAGGUUGAUGCUGAGGGAGUUGGGUCCGUGGUCAUGUGUUUCUAGGUUGAUGCUGAGGGAGUUGGGUCCGUGGUCAUGUGUUUCUAGGUUGAUGCUGAGGGAGUUGGGUCCGUGGUCAUGUGUUUCUAGGUUGAUGCUGAGGGAGUUGGGUCCGUGGUCAUGUGUUUCUAGGUUGAUGCUGAGGGAGUUGGGUCCGUGGUUUCUAGGUUGAUGCUGAGGGAGUUGGGUCCGUGGUUUCUAGGUUGAUGCUGAGGGAGUUGGGUCCGUGGUUUCUAGGUUGAUGCUGAGGGAGUUGGGUCCGUGGUUUCUAGGUUGAUGCUGAGGGAGUUGGGUCCGUGGUUUCUAGGUUGAUGCUGAGGGAGUUGGGUCCGUGGUCAUGUGUUUCUAGGUUGAUGCUGAGGGAGUUGGGUCCAUGGUCAUGUGUUUCUAGGUUAAUGAUGAGGGAGUUGGGUCCGUGGUUUCUAGGUUAAUGCUGAGGGAGUUGGGCCCGUGGUCAUGUGUUUCUAGGUUGAUGCUGAGGGAGUUGGGUCCAUGGUCAUGUGUUUCUAGGUUAAUGAUGAGGGAGUUGGGUCCGUGGUCAUGUGUUUCUAGGUUGAUGCUGAGGGAGUUGGGUCCGUGGUCAUGUGUUUCUAGGUUGAUGCUGAGGGAGUUGGGUCCGUGGUCAUGUGUUUCUAGGUUGAUGCUGAGGGAGUUGGGUCCGUGGUCAUGUGUUUAUAGGUUGAUGCUGAGGGAGUUGGGUCCAUGGUCAUGUGUUUCUAGGUUAAUGAUGAGGGAGUUGGGUCUGUGGUCAUGUGUUUCUAGGUUGAUGCUGAGGGAGUUGGGUCCGUGGUCAUGUGUUUCUAGGUUGAUGCUGAGGCAGUUGGGUCCGUGGUCAUGUGUUUCUAGGUUGAUGCUGAGGGAGUUGGGUCCGUGGUCAUGUGUUUCUAGGUUGAUGCUGAGGGAGUUGGGUCCGUGGUCAUGUGUUUCUAGGUUGAUGCUGAGGGAGUUGGGUCCAUGGUCAUGUGUUUCUAGGUUGAUGCUGAGGGAGUUGGGUCCGUGGUCUUGUGUUUCUAGGUUGAUGCUGAGGGAGUUGGGUCCGUGGUCAUGUGUUUCUAGGUUGAUGCUGAGGGAGUUGGGUCCAUGGUCAUGUGUUUCUAGGUUGAUGCUGAGGGAGUUGGGUCCGUGGUCAUGUGUUUCUAGGUUGAUGCUGAGGGAGUUGGGUCCGUGGUCAUGUGUUUCUAGGUUGAUGCUGAGGGAGUUGGGUCCGUGGUCAUGUGUUUCUAGGUUGAUGCUGAGGGAGUUGGGUCCGUGGUCAUGUGUUUCUAGGUUGAUACUGAGGGAGUUGGGUCCAUGGUCAUGUGUUUCUAGGUUGAUGCUGAGGGAGUUGGGUCCAUGGUCAUGUGUUUCUAGGUUGAUGAUGAGGGAGUUGGGUCUGUGGUUUCUAGGUUGAUGCUGAGGGAGUUGGGUCCGUGGUCAUGUGUUUCUAGGUUGAUGCUGAGGGAGUUGGGUCCAUGGUCAUGUGUUUCUAGGUUGAUGCUGAGGGAGUUGGGUCCGUGGUCUUGUGUUUCUAGGUUGAUGCUGAGGGAGUUGGGACCGUGGUCAUGUGUUUCUAGGUUGAUGCUGAGGGAGUUGGGUCCAUGGUCAUGUGUUUCUAGGUUGAUGCUGAGGGAGUUGGGUCCGUGGUCAUGUGUUUCUAGGUUGAUGCUGAGGGAGUUGGGUCCGUGGUCAUGUGUUUCUAGGUUGAUGCUGAGGGAGUUGGGUCCGUGGUCAUGUGUUUCUAGGUUGAUGCUGAGGGAGUUGGGUCCGUGGUCAUGUGUUUCUAGGUUGAUGCUGAGGGAGUUGGGUCCAUGGUCAUGUGUUUCUAGGUUAAUGAUGAGGGAGUUGGGUCCGUGGUUUCUAGGUUGAUGCUGAGGGAGUUGGGUCCGUGGUUUCUAGGUUGAUGCUGAGGGAGUUGGGUCCGUGGUUUCUAGGUUGAUGCUGAGGGAGUUGGGUCCGUGGUUUCUAGGUUGAUGGGUCCGUGGUUUCGAGGUUGAUGCUGAGGGAGUUGGGUCCGUGGUUUCUAGGUUGAUGCUGAGGGAGUUGGGUCCGUGGUUUCUAGGUUGAUGCUGAGGGAGUUGGGUCCGUGGUUUCUAGGUUGAUGCUGAGGGAGUUGGGUCCGUGGUCAUGUGUUUCUAGGUUGAUGCUGAGGGAGUUGGGUCCAUGGUCAUGUGUUUCUAGGUUAAUGAUGAGGGAGUUGGGUCCGUGGUUUCUAGGUUAAUGCUGAGGGAGUUGGGCCCGUGGUCAUGUGUUUCUAGGUUGAUGCUGAGGGAGUUGGGUCCGUGGUCAUGUGUUUCUAGGUUGAUACUGAGGGAGUUGGGUCCGUGGUCAUGUGUUUCUAGGUUGAUGCUGAGGGAGUUGGGUCCGUGGUCAUGUGUUUCUAGGUUGAUGCUGAGGGAGUUGGGUCCGUGGUCAUGUGUUUCUAGGUUGAUGCUGAGGGAGUUGGGUCCGUGGUCAUGUGUUUCUAGGUUGAUGCUGAGGGAGUUGGGUCCGUGGUCAUGUGUUUCUAGGUUGAUGCUGAGGGAGUUGGGUCCGUGGUUUCUAGGUUGAUACUGAGGGAGUUGGGUCCAUGGUCAUGUGUUUCUAGGUUGAUGCUGAGGGAGUUGGGUCCAUGGUCAUGUGUUUCUAGGUUGAUGAUGAGGGAGUUGGGUCUGUGGUUUCUAGGUUGAUGCUGAGGGAGUUGGGUCCGUGGUCAUGUGUUUCUAGGUUGAUGCUGAGGGAGUUGGGUCCAUGGUCAUGUGUUUCUAGGUUGAUGCUGAGGGAGUUGGGUCCGUGGUCUUGUGUUUCUAGGUUGAUGCUGAGGGAGUUGGGACCGUGGUCAUGUGUUUCUAGGUUGAUGCUGAGGGAGUUGGGACCGUGGUCAUGUGUUUCUAGGUUGAUGCUGAGGGAGUUGGGUCCAUGGUCAUGUGUUUGUAGGUUGAUGCUGAGGGAGUUGGGUCCGUGGUCAUGUGUUUCUAGGUUGAUGCUGAGGGAGUUGGGUCCGUGGUCAUGUGUUUCUAGGUUGAUGCUGAGGGUGUUGGGUCCGUGGUUUCUAGGUUGAUGCUUAGGGAGUUGGGUCCGUGGUCAUGUGUUUCUAGGUUGAUGCUGAGGGAGUUGGGUCCGUGGUCAUGUGUUUCUAGGUUGAUGCUGAGGGAGUUGGGUCCAUGGUCAUGUGUUUCUAGGUUGAUGCUGAGGGAGUUGGGUCCGUGGUCAUGUGUUUCUGGGUUGAUGCUGAGGGAGUUGGGUCCGUGGUCAUGUGUUUCUAGGUUGAUGCUGAGGGAGUUGGGUCCAUGGUCAUGUGUUUCUAGGUUAAUGAUGAGGGAGUUGGGUCCGUGGUCAUGUGUUUCUAGGUUGAUGCUGAGGGAGUUGGGUCCGUGGUCAUGUGUUUCUAGGUUGAUGCUGAGGGAGUUGGGUCCGUGGUCAUGUGUUUCUAGGUUGAUGCUGAGGGAGUUGGGUCCGUGGUUUCUAGGUUGAUGCUGAGGGAGUUGGGUCCGUGGUUUCUAGGUUGAUGCUGAGGGAGUUGGGUCCGUGGUCAUGUGUUUCUAGGUUGAUGCUGAGGGAGUUGGGUCCAUGGUCAUGUGUUUCUAGGUUAAUGAUGAGGGAGUUGGGUCCGUGGUUUCUAGGUUAAUGCUGAGGGAGUUGGGUCCGUGGUCAUGUGUUUCUAGGUUGAUGCUGAGGGAGUUGGGUCCGUGGUCAUGUGUUUCUAGGUUGAUACUGAGGGAGUUGGGUCCGUGGUCAUGUGUUUCUAGGUUGAUGCUGAGGGAGUUGGGUCCGUGGUCAUGUGUUUCUAGGUUGAUGCUGAGGGAGUUGGGUCCGUGGUCAUGUGUUUCUAGGUUGAUGCUGAGGGAGUUGGGUCCGUGGUCAUGUGUUUCUAGGUUGAUGCUGAGGGAGUUGGGUCCGUGGUCAUGUGUUUCUAGGUUGAUGCUGAGGGAGUUGGGUCCGUGGUUUCUAGGUUGAUACUGAGGGAGUUGGGUCCAUGGUCAUGUGUUUCUAGGUUGAUGCUGAGGGAGUUGGGUCCAUGGUCAUGUGUUUCUAGGUUGAUGAUGAGGGAGUUGGGUCUGUGGUUUCUAGGUUGAUGCUGAGGGAGUUGGGUCCGUGGUCAUGUGUUUCUAGGUUGAUGCUGAGGGAGUUGGGUCCAUGGUCAUGUGUUUCUAGGUUGAUGCUGAGGGAGUUGGGUCCGUGGUCAUGUGUUUCUAGGUUCAUGCUGAGGGAGUUGGGUCCAUGGUCUUGUGUUUCUAGGUUGAUGCUGAGGGAGUUGGGACCGUGGUCAUGUGUUUCUAGGUUGAUGCUGAGGGAGUUGGGACCGUGGUCAUGUGUUUCUAGGUUGAUGCUGAGGGAGUUGGGUCCAUGGUCAUGUGUUUGUAGGUUGAUGCUGAGGGAGUUGGGUCCGUGGUCAUGUGUUUCUAGGUUGAUGCUGAGGGAGUUGGGUCCGUGGUCAUGUGUUUCUAGGUUGAUGCUGAGGGUGUUGGGUCCGUGGUUUCUAGGUUGAUACUUAGGGAGUUGGGUCCAUGGUCAUGUGUUUCUAGGUUGAUGCUGAGGGAGUUGGGUCCGUGGUCAUGUGUUUCUAGGUUGAUGCUGAGGGAGUUGCGUCCAUGGUCAUGUGUUUCUAGGUUGAUGCUGAGGGAGUUGGGUCCGUGGUCAUGUGUUUCUGGGUUGAUGCUGAGGGAGUUGGGUCCGUGGUCAUGUGUUUCUAGGUUGAUGCUGAGGGAGUUGGGUCCGUGGUCAUGUGUUUCUAGGUUGAUGAUGAGGGAGUUGGGUCCGUGGUCAUGUGUUUCUAGGUUGAUGCUGAGGGAGUUGGGUCCGUGGUCAUGUGUUUCUAGGUUGAUGCUGAGGGAGUUGGGUCCGUGGUCAUGUGUUUCUAGGUUGAUGCUGAGGGAGUUGGGUCCAUGGUCAUGUGUUUCUAGGUUAAUGAUGAGGGAGUUGGGUCCGUGGUUUCUAGGUUGAUGCUGAGGGAGUUGGGUCCGUGGUUUCUAGGUUGAUGCUGAGGGAGUUGGGUCCGUGGUUUCUAGGUUGAUGCUGAGGGAGUUGGGUCCGUGGUCAUGUGUUUCUAGGUUGAUGCUGAGGGAGUUGGGUCCAUGGUCAUGUGUUUCUAGGUUAAUGAUGAGGGAGUUGGGUCCGUGGUUUCUAGGUUGAUGCUGAGGGAGUUGGGUCCGUGGUUUCUAGGUUGAUGCUGAGGGAGUUGGGUCCGUGGUUUCUAGGUUGAUGGGUCCGUGGUUUCGAGGUUGAUGCUGAGGGAGUUGGGUCCGUGGUUUCUAGGUUGAUGCUGAGGGAGUUGGGUCCGUGGUUUCUAGGUUGAUGCUGAGGGAGUUGGGUCCGUGGUUUCUAGGUUGAUGCUGAGGGAGUUGGGCCCGUGGUCAUGUGUUUCUAGGUUGAUGCUGAGGGAGUUGGGUCCGUGGUCAUGUGUUUCUAGGUUGAUACUGAGGGAGUUGGGUCCGUGGUCAUGUGUUUCUAGGUUGAUGCUGAGGGAGUUGGGUCCGUGGUCAUGUGUUUCUAGGUUGAUGCUGAGGGAGUUGGGUCCGUGGUCAUGUGUUUCUAGGUUGAUGCUGAGGGAGUUGGGUCCGUGGUCAUGUGUUUCUAGGUUGAUGCUGAGGGAGUUGGGUCCGUGGUCAUGUGUUUCUAGGUUGAUGCUGAGGGAGUUGGGUCCGUGGUUUCUAGGUUGAUACUGAGGGAGUUGGGUCCAUGGUCAUGUGUUUCUAGGUUGAUGCUGAGGGAGUUGGGUCCAUGGUCAUGUGUUUCUAGGUUGAUGAUGAGGGAGUUGGGUCUGUGGUUUCUAGGUUGAUGCUGAGGGAGUUGGGUCCGUGGUCAUGUGUUUCUAGGUUGAUGCUGAGGGAGUUGGGUCCAUGGUCAUGUGUUUCUAGGUUGAUGCUGAGGGAGUUGGGUCCGUGGUCAUGUGUUUCUAGGUUGAUGCUGAGGGAGUUGGGUCCAUGGUCAUGUGUUUCUAGGUUGAUGCUGAGGGAGUUGGGUCCGUGGUCUUGUGUUUCUAGGUUGAUGCUGAGGGAGUUGGGACCGUGGUCAUGUGUUUCUAGGUUGAUGCUGAGGGAGUUGGGACCGUGGUCAUGUGUUUCUAGGUUGAUGCUGAGGGAGUUGGGUCCAUGGUCAUGUGUUUGUAGGUUGAUGCUGAGGGAGUUGGGUCCGUGGUCAUGUGUUUCUAGGUUGAUGCUGAGGGAGUUGGGUCCGUGGUCAUGUGUUUCUAGGUUGAUGCUGAGGGUGUUGGGUCCGUGGUUUCUAGGUUGAUACUUAGGGAGUUGGGUCCAUGGUCAUGUGUUUCUAGGUUGAUGCUGAGGGAGUUGGGUCCGUGGUCAUGUGUUUCUAGGUUGAUGCUGAGGGAGUUGGGUCCAUGGUCAUGUGUUUCUAGGUUGAUGCUGAGGGAGUUGGGUCCGUGGUCAUGUGUUUCUGGGUUGAUGCUGAGGGAGUUGGGUCCGUGGUCAUGUGUUUCUAGGUUGAUGCUGAGGGAGUUGGGUCCGUGGUCAUGUGUUUCUAGGUUAAUGAUGAGGGAGUUGGGUCCGUGGUCAUGUGUUUCUAGGUUGAUGCUGAGGGAGUUGGGUCCGUGGUCAUGUGUUUCUAGGUUGAUGCUGAGGGAGUUGGGUCCGUGGUCAUGUGUUUCUAGGUUGAUGCUGAGGGAGUUGGGUCCGUGGUCAUGUGUUUCUAGGUUGAUGCUGAGGGAGUUGGGUCCGUGGUUUCUAGGUUGAUGCUGAGGGAGUUGGGUCCGUGGUUUCUAGGUUGAUGCUGAGGGAGUUGGGUCCGUGGUCAUGUGUUUCUAGGUUGAUGCUGAGGGAGUUGGGUCCAUGGUCAUGUGUUUCUAGGUUAAUGAUGAGGGAGUUGGGUCCGUGGUUUCUAGGUUAAUGCUGAGGGAGUUGGGCCCGUGGUCAUGUGUUUCUAGGUUGAUGCUGAGGGAGUUGGGUCCGUGGUCAUGUGUUUCUAGGUUGAUACUGAGGGAGUUGGGUCCGUGGUCAUGUGUUUCUAGGUUGAUGCUGAGGGAGUUGGGUCCGUGGUCAUGUGUUUCUAGGUUGAUGCUGAGGGAGUUGGGUCCGUGGUCGAGUCACAUGCGAUGGAUUAUCUGGAUCAUGGCAGUUAUCGGCUCCACAUACGUCUUCUACUUCCACGAGAGGUAUAAACUGUUGGAGUUACUAGGAUACGUGGCCAUGGGGGCGGGGCCUGCACUUGUCAUCCUGUCCAUGGCGGACAGGGCAGGUUUGUGUGAGCUGGCGGUGGGUGGGAUUUUCUACGUGGUGGGUGUGGCCUUCUUUAAGAGCGAUGGAGUCGUCCCAUUCGCUCACGCCAUCUGGCACCUGUUCGUUGCCAUGGGAGCAGCUACACACUACUACGCUAUCUGGAGACACCUGUACACACCUGGACACUGAGACACACCUACCGUGGUGCUAGCUAAACAGGGAUCUGGUCCUGUACACACCUGGACACUGAGACACACACCUACCGUGGUGCUAGCUAAACAGGGAACUGGUCCUGUACACACCUACCGUGGUGCUAGCUAAACAGGGAUCUGGUCCUAUACACACCUACCGUGGUGCUAGCUAAACAGGGAUCUGGUCCUGUACACACCUGGACACUGAGACACACCUACCGUGGUGCUAGCUAAACAGGGAUCUGGUCUGACUGUUUACAUGAUGACAUCACCACAUCCAACUCUUACAAUUAUUAGUAGAAGUACCACAGUUACCAACAUGCUGGAAACAGGCUUUGAUUAUAUAAUGCCUGUAUGUUCCACACCAGAAGGAUCUCUGUCCAAUUAGAGACAGGAAUCAGUCAACUACCAGAAGGAUCUCUGUCCAAUUAGAGACAGGAAUCAGUGAACAGAAGGAUCUCUGUCCAAUUAGAGACAGGAAUCAGUGAACUGAAGGAUCUCUGUCCAAUUAGAGACAGGAAUCAGUCAACUACCAGAAGGAUCUCUGUCCAAUUAGAAACAGGAAUCAGUGAAUUGAAGGAUCUCUGUCCAAUUAGAAACAGGAAUCAGUGAACUGAAGGAUCUCUGUCCAAUUAGAGACAGGAAUCAGUCAACUACCAGAAGGAUCUCUGUCCAAUUAGAGACAGGAAUCAAUGAAUUACCAUAAAGAUCAUCAAGGACAUCAACCACCCGAGCCACUGCCUGUUCACCCUGCUAUCAUCCAGAAGGCGAGGUCAGUACAGGUGCAUCAAAGCUGGGACCGAGAGACUGAAAAACAGCUUCUACCUCAAGGCCAUCAGACUGUUAAACAGCCACCACUAACAUUGAGUGGCUGCUGCCAACACACUGACUCAACUCCAGCCACUUUAAUAAUUCAAAAUUGAUGAAAAAUGUAUCACGAGUCAUUUAAAACAAUGCCACUUAAUAUAAUGUUUAUAUGGGUUAUAUAUGGCCGUUUGGCCAUCGCUCAUCCAUAUAUCUUUAUGUACA